CGUAUACAGAUACAUAACACAUUUUCAAUUGUACAAUAAAAAAGCAGAUAAGGAGCUUGAAUUUCUUUGGAUGUGCUCCUACACGGACAUUAUCCGCAGUUUAAGGACACGGGGUGAGCUGCACAGCUAACACACACGCACACGCGAGGAUGAAUGCAGGUGCGGGUGCGUUUUGCCUGUGUUCCUCACGAACGCCCAUCGCCUACCGCGUGUGCAUGUGUGCAUGCACUGCUCUUCCCCGGCUCGCUCGCACGCACACACAGCUCCGCCAGGCAAGACUCCAGACAAAGAAAGAAAGAGAAAAACGCCGUCUUACUUUUUCCUCCUUUUUUUUUUUUCCUCUCUCCUCCCUGCCGCCUCAAUUUCGGGACUCCAGCGGGACUGGAAUUCUUUGGAAGAGAUUAUGAAAAGCAACUUAACAACCCAGCGAGCGCCGAACGCCGCCGCGCAGAGGGGCCGAGCUUUGCCAGCCGAGCCGGGGAGGAACAAAAGCCCAGCGCCGAGAGCGGAGCCGAAGAGCUCUCGUAAAUCCUGAACUGUCAGCGCGACAGCGGAUGAUUCAGUGGGGAUUUAGCCAGGCUUCAGACCCAUAAAAAGAGCCAGAGCCUGCUCCGGUGCCAGCGACCGUCCAGUCCACCAGCGGUUUUAGCUGGAGAAGGGCCAUGGCGAGACCCUGCCGGCCCCUCCGGCGGUCUGGACAAGAGCAAUGAGAGCUCUGAGCCGGAGGAGGACGUGCUGGACCAGGCGAUGCGCUGGGCUGGCGCUGGGUGUCCCGCGCCGGGCGAGGGUGCAGGAGCGAGGGAGAGCUGUGCUGCCUCUGAGCCUCUGCUCGCCUGUGACAUUGUGCUCACUUGGGCUUUUUUUUUUAAUUGUCUUGAUGUCCCACAUUUGCAUAAUCCCCACAAUGCAGCGCAGCAGGACUUUUGCUCUGAGCUAAUAAACAGACGACAAAAAUAAAUGUGUCAUGUAA